rnacentral:rRNA from 1 species
GAAUUUUGGACAAUGGGCGAAAGCCUGAUCCAGCAAUGCCGCGUGCAGGAAGAAGGCCUUCGGGUUGUAAACUGCUUUUGUACGGAAAGAAAAGCUUUGGGUUAAUACCACGGAGUCAUGACGGUACCGCCAGAAUAAGAACCGGCCACCUAAGUGCCCGCAGCCGCGGUAAUACGUGGGGUGCAAGCGUUAAUCGGAAUUACUGGGCGUAAAGCGUGAGCAGGCGGUUUUGUAAGACAGAGGUGAAAUCCCCGGGCUCAACCUGGGAACUGCCUUUGGGACUGCAAGGCUAGAGUACGGCAGAGGGGGGUGGAAUUCCGCGUGUAGCAGUGAAAUGCGUAGAUAUGCGGAGGAACACCGAUGGCGAAGGUAACCCCCUGGGCCUGUACUGACGCUCAUGCACGAAAGCGUGGGGAGCAAACA